AAUAAAUCCUCUUAGCAUACCUGCUCUAAUCUUACGUCAAAAUGUAUUAAUGAGAACAAUGACACUUGUAUACUGUGGAAUAGCUCUUUGAUUGGGGUGAAUGAGAAUUGUACUUCUGAUUUUUGAGAUAUUAUGAGGAUUGAACUAAACAUCAAUUUGUCCAAGUUAUGGACUACUUGUUUGCCUGAGACAAUCCUGAUCAU
rnacentral:misc_RNA from 1 species